rnacentral:rRNA from 1 species
CCUACGGGAGGCAGCAGUGGGGAAUAUUGCACAAUGGGCGCAAGCCUGAUGCAGCCAUGCCGCGUGUAUGAAGAAGGCCUUCGGGUUGUAAAGUACUUUCAGUCGUGAAGAAGGUGUUAAGGUUAAUAACCUUAGAAAUUGACGUUAGCGACAGAAGAAGCACCGGCUAACUCCGUGCCAGCAGCCGCGGUAAUACGGAGGGUGCGAGCGUUAAUCGGAAUUACUGGGCGUAAAGGGCACGCAGGCGGUUAAUUAAGUUGGAUGUGAAAUCCCCUGUCUUAACCUGGGGAUGGCAUUCAGGCGUGGUUAGCGAGGUUCGUGUAGAGGGGGGUAGAAGUCCAUGUGUAGCGGUGAAAUGCGUUGAGAUGUGGAGGACUACCGGUGGCGAAGGCGGCCCCCUGGACAAAGACUGACGCUCAUGUGCGAAAGCGUGGGGAGCAAACAGGAUUAGAUACCCUGGUAGUC